rnacentral:rRNA from 1 species
GAUGAACGCUGGCGGCGUGCCUAAUACAUGCAAGUCGAGCGAACAGAUGAGGAGCUUGCUCCUCUGACGUUAGCGGCGGACGGGUGAGUAACACGUGGAUAACCUACCUAUAAGACUGGGAUAACUUCGGGAAACCGGAGCUAAUACCGGAUAAUAUAUUGAACCGCAUGGUUCAAUAGUGAAAGACGGUUUUGCUGUCACUUAUAGAUGGAUCCGCGCCGCAUUAGCUAGUUGGUAAGGUAACGGCUUACCAAGGCAACGAUGCGUAGCCGACCUGAGAGGGUGAUCGGCCACACUGGAACUGAGACACGGUCCAGACUCCUACGGGAGGCAGCAGUAGGGAAUCUUCCGCAAUGGGCGAAAGCCUGACGGAGCAACGCCGCGUGAGUGAUGAAGGUCUUCGGAUCGUAAAACUCUGUUAUUAGGGAAGAACAAAUGCGUAAGUAACUAUGCACGUCUUGACGGUACCUAAUCAGAAAGCCACGGCUAACUAUGUG